GCCAUCUUAGCUCAGCUGGUAGAGCGCCACUUUUGUAAAGUGGAUGCCCCCGGUUCGAAUCCGGGAGAUGGCU
rnacentral:tRNA from 6 species